CUUUUACACCAAAAUUGCUUCACAAUUUCACCUACAAUCAAUUACACAUCUUAUCCCAACACCUUUUCAAAGUAAAAUUUGAAGAAAAAAAAGGGAAAUCAAAGAGAAAUUCCAAGGUUGAAAGAGAGUGAAUAGUAACCAAGGGUUUGGAAAUUUAAAGAAGAAGUGGAUGGGAAAGGAAAAUUAAAGGAAAAUUAGAGAAUUUUAAGCUUGAGAAAGAUCUUGGGAAGGUUGUAGACCCAAGUAGCAGUAGAUCAAGAUCUGCAUCAACCCAGCCAGAGUUACAUCAUUAUCUAUCUUGGGGGUAUAUUUUGUAAAUUUUAUAUAAAGUUGAUUGUGGAAAUUUGGCAUGUACAUAAAGUUUUAGUUGUAGAUGAUUUGAAUUAAAUAUAUUUGAAGACUUUAAUUUUGGUGUAAAUAUGGGUUAUUAGU